rnacentral:rRNA from 1 species
AGCACUGUAGGUGUCAGCAGCCGCGGUAAUACGUAGGGGGCAAGCGUUAUCCGGAUUUACUGGGUGUAAAGGGAGCGUAGACGGCAAAGCAAGUCUGAAGUGAAAGCCCGGGGCUCAACCCCGGGACUGCUUUGGAAACUGUUCUGCUAGAGUGCUGGAGAGGUAAGCGGAAUUCCUAGUGUAGCGGUGAAAUGCGUAGAUAUUAGGAGGAACACCAGUGGCGAAGGCGGCUUACUGGACAGUAACUGACGUUGAGGCUCGAAAGCGUGGGGAGCAAACAGGAUUAGAUACCCUGGUAGUCCACGCGGUAAACGAUGAAUACUAGGUGUUGGUGGGCAAGGCCCAUCGGUGCCGUCGCAAACGCAGUAAGUAUUCCACCUGGGGAGUACGUUCGCAAGAAUGAAAACUUAAAGGAAUUGACGGG